AGAGCGGAGCGUCUCGCUGAGUACGGAGGGUCAAACUGUGGCUAACACUGCAGCUACUACAGGUAUGUCGUGGGACUUUUUGGUGCCCGUGUACGUGGGCGACCUGGUGAAGACCGGAGGGAUCAACCAGUACGUGGUUCAGGAUGUGGUUUCCCCAAAACAGCUGCCAUCCUGCCUCAGCAGGUUCAAGGCAGCACUGAGGAGCCAGGGCCCUUUGUGUAUCCUGGAACACUUUGACACCGGCUACAGCGUCCUGCAG